rnacentral:tRNA from 1 species
GACCGCAUAGUUCAAUCGGAUAGAGCAACUGCCUUCUAAGUAGUAUGUUGUGGGUUCGAAUCCCACUGCGGUCG